CCGAGGCCCCGCACAGAGACCAGGGACCGAACAUCACCUUGAAGGACAUAUAGUGCAGUGAUGGCAGUUGUUGCUUAACAUUAAUGGCUUCAUCAUAAGCGCUGGCAUACUGCUGCACUCCCCUCUGUUGCUCUGAGUGUCUCUGCAUCCUUCUGCUAAUGCAUGUAUGUGCAUGUGAGGCAACAACAGUUGCCACGGCAAUCCAGGAAGCUUUCACCUGAAAUAGCUCCUGUCUGAACUGUCAGGAAGAGGCUGUGUAUGCGAGGCAGGAAGGGCCUAAUAUACGUACUGAGGGUUGAGGACAGUGUCAACGCCGACAGCAACAACACAGAUGCCCUCUGCUCUGGGCCGCUGCGCGGGCACCGAGCAGCCCUCUCUCUCCCUACACUGCUCUCCAGUCUGCAUUAGUUAGCUGCUCUGAAGGUCAUUCAAGACGCCUCAAGUAUUUUCUCUGUGCGGAUGAUUGAGCUGCGAAACGCCUUUUCACGCUACCGCUCACCUCUGAUUGGCUCGGUUUUGCUGAGAGGAGCAAUGUGAACGAGCACAGUUCAUCGGCACAGACAAACCACAGCCAGGUAGUGGACAUGAAGGGGAGAGACUCCCAAAAACGCCCUUCACUGACCUCUUUUUCACACACAAGAAUGCUAAAUCAGGCUGAUAUGUAUUUUUUUUGUGUGUGUGUGUUUAUUUGAGCCAAAAGCAUUCCAUGGCCCAAAGCCCUCAACUAGUUUGUGUGCACUGUGUGUGUGUGUGUGUUUGAUGCUUAGUGAAAAUCUGUCGAUUUGAAAUGGAAAGUGUUUGGAUUUAAAAAUAUGUGCAGAAAUAUUUUUAUAUAAAGUAAGUUAAGUUCAUUUAGGUCCUCAAAAUGUUUUUAUUUUUUUAUUAAAGAGAUAAAAAAAAGUUACAGUUACCAUGGCCAAUUCAAUCUGGCCAAAGAAAUGGGGCAAUUUGCUAAAGAUUUUUUUGUAUGGCAUUUCAAAGGCCCAGAAGUUUGUUUGGUAGAUUUUCCAAUCUAAUGAUUUUGCAAUA